UGACAAAUUGCGGAUCCUGAAUAAUUUCAGGACGACUCGGUCAAGUCUUUCCCCUAUCAGGUUUCGAAGGCAGUGUAUUGAACUGUCUUGCCGUUGACGGGUAACGGAGAAUUAGGGUUCGAUUCCGGAGAAGGAGCCUGAGAGACGGCUACUACAUCUAAGGAAGGCAGCAGGCGCGCAAAUUUCCCAAUGCUCAUCGAGCGAGGAAGUGACGAUCAAUAACAAUGCGCGACGUUUUACGUUGUGCAAUUGGAAUGACUACAAUUUAAACUAUUUAAGGAGGAUCAAUUGGAGGGCAAGUCUGGUGCCAGCAGCCGCGGUAAUUCCAGCUCCAAUAGGAUAUAUCAAAGUUGUUGCAGUUAAAAAGACUCGUAGUUGAAUUUCUGCCGGUCUUUUUGUGCGUUUCCGCGCGGGUCAAACCGCGAGGCAUUCGCCGCCGGCAUUUUGUGGAAGACGGCGCGUGCGUGGUUCGCUCCGCGUAUGCGUCCCACUCCGUUACUGAGAGCAAAUUGGAGUGCUCAAAG
rnacentral:rRNA from 1 species